UAUGUGAACCAAGAAUGAGUUCGAUUUAAACAACUGAAGACGGGUGUGAAGUUUGAGGAUCAUAAAGAUUACUUUUAAGUACAUUUGCGUCCAUUCACUUAUUUUCAAGAAAGAAAAAGUCCAUUCACUUGAGUCUUGACCUUAAAAAAAAGUUCAAGUAACUUGAGAAUGCAAUAUGGCAUAACGAUUUGUAUCUCAGAUUAACAAAUAGCACAAAUUUUCAAUUUUCAGCGGAGACAAUCCAUGUGCUUGUAUUGGUUAGAGAAGUUGAUCAAGAUAUUAAGGUCCGAAGCCGCCCUCGCCAAGCAUAUUGUUGAAUGAGAAGUUAUUGGUAGCUUUAGCUACUGUGCUGAAGUCAAAAUGAGGUAGCUCUAGAUCUUCAUCAUCGUUAUCAAAAGAGUAGUUAUCUUCUUGAUAGUUUUCCCAUGUCCCUGUAAAGUAGCCAAAUCAGAACAUCAAAACAAAUUGACCGCUACAAUUUACACGAUCAAUAAAGCAUUUAAUACGGUAGGUGUACCUUGUGCAUUUUGCUGCUUCGUUCUCUUUUUAUUUCGUAAGAAGAAGCCUAGACACAGAACAAGCAUGAAAAUUACUGCUGAUGAUACUAAGCUUGCUAUGAUCACCACUUUUUUGUUGUGACCGGAGCUUCCAUGGUUUUCUACAUUUAAAAGUAGAAAUGCUAUGAGUCAAUCAAGUUGAUUAAAUUUUCCGUGCUAUGA